UUUUUUUUUUUUUCUGCUUUGUCUCCCCAAAUCCCCCUGGUACCUAGCUGUAUAUCUUAGUUGUGGGUCCUUCUAGUAUGGCAUGUGGGAUGCCACCUCAAUGUGGCCUGACGAGUGGUGCCAUGUCCGCGCCCAGGAUCCGAACCAGCGAAACCCUAGGCCACCACAGCCCAGCCCGAGAACUUAACCACUCGGCCCCAGGGCCAGCCCCUGGCUGUCUCUUUCAAAGCCAGCCCACUUGUCUCCAAGACUAGCACAAGCGAUCAUACAGAGGUGGGCAUGAAGGAGGGAGGUGGGCACCCCCCUGGACUUUUUCUGCUACUACAUGGCUGACACACAAGUAUUACCUUAUGUGUCCCCUCACUGUGGGCCACCCUAAAGCCGACUUUUCUAAUUAGAGAGAAUCUCAUUUCUUCAGCUGUCAUUGCACUCUGCUGAUGUCUCCCACAUCAACAUCUUGCCUCUAAACAUUUGCAACAGCCUUGAGGCACGUAGCAGUACAACUGAACAGUCAGUCCUAAACCAAACUCAUCCCUGUUCGUUAUUCCUGCCUCCACACCUCAUCCUGUUUCCUGAUGUCUGCUACGGCCAUCGGUCUAGCCCACUCUGCCUCCGAAGCCUUUGCCCUCUUUCCCCUGCAUUUCAUAACCACCAUGAAGCACUAUUGUUAGUCUUUUGAACUUUCUCCAUCCUACCUUCAGAGUUCUCUCUAGGGCCUCAUUCCAGCCACUCUCUCCACCAAAAAGACAAAACAAAACUAUUAAUGAAAGUCAUCUUGUCUCCCCAACUUUAGUUCAUUUUAUAUCCUCAUCCCAGAUUAAUAACCCUACAAUGUUUUACCAUGUGGCUACCCCAGUGUUUGCCACAAACUUUUCUGUUUCUCUUGAGGUUUUCUGUGACUUCUAGUCUUAACUGCUUUAUCUUCUAUUACUCACUAGAGCCUUCUCUAUUCAUUAAUUCAUUUAUCCCAUGUGUACAUGGCCUCCUGGUCUCCCCCUUGUUGGAAUGCUUUCCUCCUUCUUCUCUGCUAUCUGCAGGACAUAUAUUUUCAAGGUCCAGGUCUCACCAUCUAUGAGGAUAUUUUCCUAAUCCUUCCAGUCUAUAUCUUUACUCCGAGUUCUCCACCACAUUUUUCUUUUGGUGAGGAAGAUUGGCCCCGAGCUAACAUCUGUUGCCAAUCUUCUUCUUAUUGCUUGAGGAAGAUUGUCACUGAGCUCACAUCUGUGCCAAUCCUCCUCUACUUUUUGUAUGUGGGACGCUGCCACAGCAUAGCUUGAUGAGCAGUGUAUAGGUCUGCACUUGGGAUCUGAACCUGUGAACCCUGGACCUCCAAAGCAGAGCGCACAAACUUAACCACUAUGCCACAGGGCCAGCCCCUGCCACAUCUGUUUGACACGCAACCAUUCUAUCCUGUCUUACCAAUCUAGGGAUGUUUCCAACGUGUACUUUCCUCUUUUGACUAGAAUAUAUGUUGUUUGUGGUGAGGGAACUUGCCACUAGAGAGGGCUUUAAAAUUCGCAAAUGUGCUCUUGUCUCAAGAAAAAC
rnacentral:lncRNA from 1 species